rnacentral:lncRNA from 1 species
CAACGGAAGAGGAGUCCGUUGGAAUAGACGACCCGGAUUUCGGCUGUUGUAGGGCAGUUCCUGGGCUCCCGCGGAGCGAUGAGACGUUGUGAAUUAGAUGUGAGAAGAGGGACGCUUGGUCUGCGACCACCAAGACCCCACAGGAUCGAUGCACCCACCCCUGCUGAUGACCAUGACCAUCUAAAGGGGAACAUCAUUUGAGGGGCCCUACUCAUGGAUCAGAAGCCCCUCUUCACUGUGGGGUGUGCUGGGUUGGCGGGCAGUUGCCGUGGAAUCAGUUUCCUCAGGACCCAUAUCUGACCACCCUCAUAAGGUUGUCAGGGCGAUUCCAACAUUCGGGGUUCCCAGCAGCCCAGAUCCCCCACAUCCAGCUCUUCAGCCUACUCAGAGCUCUCCACGCUCACUCACAUGUCCCUCUCGCAAGUAGCCCGAUCAACUCACCUGGUGUCAUGGGCACUAAGGUGUUAAUGGAUUUUCUCUGGUCACCUUUGCAGCUCCACUGUUUUGAGGUCCCAGGAACUCACAGUAUGCUCUAAAAAGGAGAGGGGCAAGAGCUCUGAGUGAGUACAUCCCGUUGGCCCGUGGGAUUUCUUGCCCUAUGGAAAGGAACAUGGACGGAAGAGAAUCAGGUGCUCAGAGCCCUAGACUGGGGCUCCUCUUGCCCCAGUCUUGAGGCAGUUCUAAAGAGGUAACAUUUGAGCCAAAGACCU